rnacentral:rRNA from 1 species
CAGCACGGGAGCAAUCCUGGUGGCGAGUGGCGAACGGGUGAGUAAUACAUCGGAACGUGUCCUGUAGUGGGGGAUAGCCCGGCGAAAGCCGGAUUAAUACCGCAUACGAUCUGUGGAUGAAAGCGGGGGAUCUUAGGACCUCGCGCUACARGGGCGGCCGAUGGCAGAUUAGCUAGUUGGUGGGGUAAAGGCCUACCAAGGCGACGAUCUGUAGCUGGUCUGAGAGGACGACCAGCCACACUGGGACUGAGACACGGCCCAGACUCCUACGGGAGGCAGCAGUGGGGAAUUUUGGACAAUGGGCGCAAGCCUGAUCCAGCAAUGCCGCGUGUGUGAAGAAGGCCUUCGGGUUGUAAAGCACUUUUGUCCGGAAAGAAAACCUCU